UACAGAGGUCCCAAGCGUUGUUCGGAUUCACUGGGCGUAAAGGGUGCGUAGGUGGUCGGAUAAGUCUGAUGUGAAAUCUCCGAGCUUAACUCGGAAAUGGCAUUGGAAACUAUCUGGCUAGAGGAAUGGAGGGGAGACUGGAAUACUUGGUGUAGCAGUGAAAUGCGUAGAUAUCAAGUGGAACACCAGUGGCGAAGGCGAGUCUCUGGACAUUUCCUGACACUGAGGCACGAAAGCUAGGGGAGCAAACAGG
rnacentral:rRNA from 1 species